UGGCGAACGGGUGAGUAACGCGUAAGAACCUGCCCUUGGGAGGGGAACAACAACUGGAAACGGUUGCUAAUACCCCGUAGGCUGAGGAGCAAAAGGAGAAAUCCGCCCAAGGAGGGGCUCGCGUCUGAUUAGCUAGUUGGUGAGGCAAUAGCUUACCAAGGCGAUGAUCAGUAGCUGGUCCGAGAGGAUGAUCAGCCACACUGGGACUGAGACACGGCCCAGACUCCUACGGGAGGCAGCAGUGGGGAAUUUUCCGCAAUGGGCGAAAGCCUGACGGAGCAAUGCCGCGUGGAGGUGGAAGGCCUACGGGUCGUCAACUUCUUUUCUCGGAGAAGAAACAAUGACGGUAUCUGAGGAAUAAGCAUCGGCUAACUCUGUGCCAGCAGCCGCGGUAAU
rnacentral:rRNA from 1 species